rnacentral:rRNA from 1 species
ACGUAGGGUCCGAGCGUUGUCCGGAUUUAUUGGGCGUAAAGAGCUCGUAGGCGGCUCAGUUAGUCGGAUGUGAAAACUCGGGGCUCAACCCCGAGACGCCAUCCGAUACUGCUGUGGCUUGAAUCUGGUAGGGGAGCACGGAAUUCCUGGUGUAGCGGUGAAAUGCGCAGAUAUCAGGAGGAACACCGGUGGCGAAGGCGGUGCUCUGGGCCAGUAUUGACGCUGAGGAGCGAAAGCGUGGGUAGCAAACAGGAUUAGAUACCCUGGUAGUCCACGCCGUAAACGUUGGGCACUAGGUGUGGGUCCCUAUCGACGGGAUCCGUGCCGUAGCUAACGCAUUAAGUGCCCCGCCUGGGGAGUACGGCCGCAAGGCUA